rnacentral:rRNA from 1 species
AGGCAUGCGCUGCUAUACAUGCAGUCGAGCGAACAGAUAAGGAGCUUGCUCCUUUGAAGUUAGCGGCGGACGGGUGAGUAACACGUGGGUAACCUACCUAUAAGACUGGAAUAACUUCGGGAAACCGGAGCUAAUGCCGGAUAACAUAUAGAACCGCAUGGUUCUAUAGUGAAAGAUGGUUUUGCUAUCACUUAUAGAUGGACCCGCGCCGUAUUAGCUAGUUGGUAAGGUAAAGGCUUACCAAGGCGACGAUACGUAGCCGACCUGAGAGGGUGAUCGGCCACACUGGAACUGAGACACGGUCCAGACUCCUACGGGAGGCAGCAGUAGGGAAUCUUCCGCAAUGGGCGAAAGCCUGACGGAGCAACGCCGCGUGAGUGAUGAAGGUUUUCGGAUCGUAAAACUCUGUUAUUAGGGAAGAACAAAUGCGUAAGUAACUGUGCGCAUCUUGACGGUACCUAAUCAGAAAGCCACGGCUAACUACGUGCCAGCAGCCGCGGUAAUACGUAGGUGGCAAGCGUUAUCCGGAAUUAUUGGGCGUAAAGCGCGCGUAGGCGGUUUCUUAAGUCUGAUGUGAAAGCCCACGGCUCAACCGUGGAGGGUCAUUGGAAACUGGGAAACUUGAGUGCAGAAGAGGAAAGUGGAAUUCCAUGUGUAGCGGUGAAAUGCGCAGAGAUAUGGAGGAACACCAGUGGCGAAGGCGACUUUCUGGUCUGUAACUGACGCUGAUGUGCGAAAGCGUGGGGAUCAAACAGGAUUAGAUACCCUGGUAGUCCACGCCGUAAACGAUGAGUGCUAAGUGUUAGGGGGUUUCCGCCCCUUAGUGCUGCAGCUAACGCAUUAAGCACUCCGCCUGGGGAGUACGACCGCAAGGUUGAAACUCAAAGGAAUUGACGGGGACCCGCACAAGCGGUGGAGCAUGUGGUUUAAUUCGAAGCAACGCGAAGAACCUUACCAAAUCUUGACAUCCUUUGAAAACUCUAGAGAUAGAGCCUUUCCCCUUUCGGGGGACAAAGUGACAGGUGGUGCAUGGUUGUCGUCAGCUCGUGUCGUGAGAUGUUGGGUUAAGUCCCGCACGAGCGCACCCUAGCUAGUGGCAUCAAUAGUGGGCACUCUAGUGACUGCGUGACAACGAAGAGUGGGAUGACGUCAUCAUCAUGCCCUUAUGAUGGCUACACUGCUACAUGCAAAUAAUGCAGCUAACUCGCGGGGUCAGUGCCAAAAAU